CUCCAGCAGACCCUCCCUCCCAGACCCUCCUACUUCCUGGACAGCAUCCUGGAUGCUGUCCAGGAAGUAGGAGGGUCUGGGAGGGAGGGUCUGCUGGAG